GGGGGUGUACUCAAGUAGUCAACGAGGAUGCGCUGUAGACGCAUUGGCCUUUGGCCUACGUAGGUGCAAAUCCUACCGCCCCCA
rnacentral:tRNA from 1 species